rnacentral:rRNA from 1 species
UGGGGAAUUUUGGACAAUGGGCGAAAGCCUGAUCCAGCCAUGCCGCGUGAGUGAAGAAGGCCUUCGGGUUGUAAAGCUCUUUCAGGUGGAAAGAAAACGCAUAGGUUAAUACCUUGUGCGGAUGACGGUACCAUCAGAAGAAGCACCGGCUAACUACGUGCCAGCAGCCGCGGUAAUACGAAGGGUGCAGGCGUUACUCGGAAUUACUGGGCGUAAAGCGUGCGUAGGUGGUGGUUUAAGUCUGCUGUGAAAGCCCCAGGCUCAACCUGGGAACUGCAUCCAAAACUGGCGAGCUAGAGUAUGGUAGAGGGUGGUGGAAUUUCCUGUGUAGCGGUGAAAUGCGUAGAUAUGCGGAGGAACACCGAUGGCGAAGGCAGUCCCCUGGACCUGUACUGACGCUCAUGCACGAAAGCGUGGGGAGCAAACA